AGAAUCAACGCUGGCGGCGUGCCUAACACAUGCAAGUCGAACGAGAAAGUGGAGCAAUCCAUGAGUAAAGUGGCGCACGGGUGAGUAACACGUGACUAACCUACCCUUGAGUGGGGGAUAACCUAGGGAAACCUGGGCUAAUACCGCAUAAUACCUACGGGUCAAAGGAGCAAUUCGCUUAAGGAGGGGGUCGCGGCCGAUUAGUUAGUUGGCGGGGUAAUGGCCCACCAAGACUGUGAUCGGUAUCCGGCCUGAGAGGGCGCACGGACACACUGGAACUGAAACACGGUCCAGACUCCUACGGGAGGCAGCAGUGGGGAAUUUUGCGCAAUGGGGGAAACCCUGACGCAGCAACGCCGCGUGGAGGAUGAAGUCCCUUGGGACGUAAACUCCUUUCGACCGGGACGAUAAUGACGGUACCGGAAGAAGAAGCCCCGGCUAACUUCGUGCCAGCAGCCGC
rnacentral:rRNA from 1 species